GCUCCUUUCACGUGCAGGAGUUGGUCACCGGGCCAUCGUUUUGUUUGGCUGAGCCAAAUAAGGCCAUAAAAGGGAACUAACAUCACGCCACUUUUUAGAAACGGUUUUGGUCGAGUAAAGGACCGAGUGGACUUCACCCAAAGCUCAGGAGAAAAUCUUAAGAUCCAAUUCUGUUGAUCGUAAAGCUUCAGAUCAUCAAAGCUCCUUCUAACAGAGAGAGAGAAAAACAGACCGAGGGACAGAGAG